GCUGGGCAUGGUGGCGCACACCUGUAAUCCCAGCAGCUUGGGAGGCUGAGGCAAGAGGACUGUUGAGUUCAAAGCCAGCCUCAGCAAUUUAGUGAGGUCCUAAGCAACUCAGUAAAACCCUGUCUCUA
rnacentral:sRNA from 1 species